GCCGCGAUGUCGGAACUGGUAGACGAACACGACUCAAAAUCGUGCGGGGGCAACCCCAUGAGGGUUCGAGUCCCUCUCGCGGCA
rnacentral:tRNA from 2 species